GAAAUGCGAUAAGUAAUGUGAAUUGCAGAAUUCAGUGAAUCAUCGAAUCUUUGAACGCAUCUUGCGCUCCUUGGUAUUCCUUGGAGCAUGCCUGUUUGAGUAUCAUGAAAUCUUCAAAGUAAAUCUUUUGUUAACUCAAUUGGUUUCUACUUUGGUAUUGGAGGUCUUUGCAGCUUCACACCUGCUCCUCUUUGUUCAUUGGCUGGAUCUCAGUGUUAUGCUUGGUUCCACUCGGCGUGAUAAGUUAUCUAUCGCUGAGGACACUGUAAAAGGUGGCCAAGGUAAAUGCAGAUGAACCGCUUCUAAUAGUCCAUUGACUUGGACAAUACUUUUAUGAUCUGAUCUCAAAUCAGGUAGGACUACCCGCUGAACUUAAGC
rnacentral:misc_RNA from 1 species